GGACCCGCACAAGCGGUGGAGCAUGUGGUUUAAUUCGAUGCAACGCGAAAAACCUUACCUACUCUUGACAUACUUGGGAGCUCUUGUAAUGAGAGUGUGCCUUAUGGAACCAAGAUACAGGUGCUGCAUGGCUGUCGUCAGCUCGUGUCGUGAGAUGUUCCGUUAAGUCGGAUAACGAGCGCAACCCUUACCCUUAUUUGCCAGCGAUUCGGUCGGGAACUAUAAGGGGACUGCCGGUGAUAAACCGGAGGAAGGUGAGGACGACGUCAAGUCAUCAUGGCCCUUACGAGUAGGGCUACACACGUGCUACAAUGGGGAAUACAGACGGACGCUAAGCCGCGAGGUGGUGCUAAUCCUAGAAAGUUUCUCGUAGUCCGGAUUGGAGUCUGCAACUCGCCUACGUGAAGGCGGAAUCGCUAGUAAUCGCGUAUC
rnacentral:rRNA from 1 species